GAGGCACCGAUCCCUGCUCCGUCGUUGCCCGCAGAGGCCCGCCUUGGCCUCGGGCUCUGGAGGCCAGUGCCU
ensembl:misc_RNA